rnacentral:rRNA from 1 species
AGGACUAACGCUGGCGGCGUGCCUAACACAUGCAAGUCGAGCGGGGUAGCAAUACCCAGCGGCAGACGGGUGAGUAACGCGUGGUCAACCUUCCGUUGAAUGGGGGAUAACUAGCCGAAAGGUUAGCUAAUACCGCAUACGAUCUUUUGAAGGCAUCUUUAAAAGAUGAAAGGAGCAAUUCGUUCAACGACGGGACCGCGUCCCAUUAGCUAGAUGGUGGGGUAAUGGCCUACCAUGGCAACGAUGGGUAGCUGGUUUGAGAGAGCGACCAGCCACACUGGGACUGAGAAACGGCCCAGACUCCUACGGGAGGCAGCAGUGAGGAAUUUUCCGCAAUGGGCGAAAGCCUGACGGAGCGACGCCGCGUGUGGGAAGAAGGCCUUCGGGUCGUAAACCACUGUCGAAGGGGACGAUAAUGACGGUACCCUUGGAGGAAGCCCCGGCUAACGUACGUGCCAGCAGCCGC